rnacentral:rRNA from 1 species
AUUGAACGCUGGCGGCAGGCCUAACACAUGCAAGUCGAGCGGAUGAAGGGAGCUUGCUCCUGGAUUCAGCGGCGGACGGGUGAGUAAUGCCUAUGAAUCUGCCUGGUAGUGGGGGAUAACGUCCGGAAACGGGCGCUAAUACCGCAUACGUCCUGAGGGAGAAAGUGGGGGAUCUUCGGACUUCACGCUAUCAGAUGAGCCUAGGUCGGAUUAGCUAGUUGGUGGGGUAAAGGCCUACCAAGGCGACGAUCCGUAACUGGUCUGAGAGGAUGAUCAGUCACACUGGAACUGAGACACGGUCCAGACUCCUACGGGAGGCAGCAGUGGGGAAUAUUGGACAAUGGGCGAAAGCCUGAUCCAGCCAUGCCGCGUGUGUGAAGAAGGUCUUCGGAUUGUAAAGCACUUUAAGUUGGGAGGAAGGGCAGUAAGUUAAUACCUUGCUGUUUUGACGUUACCAACAGAAUAAGCACCGGCUAACUUCGUG